UCCAAACCUUUAUUUUCAAAACCCACCGCCGUCUAGUUCGAAUCUAUCACUCACUCAAAUCUCUCACUCUCUUGCUCUCUCUCGAUUCUUCUUCAAAGUGAUUGCGAUUUCGAAAUUUCUCAGAGCCAACCUAUUUGCAUCCGUAUGGCUUCAAUCUCGUAGUUUCUCACAGAGAUUGCGAUUUCAAAGUUCAAUUUUGAGCACUGCCAUCUACAAUCUCGGCGAUUCAUCUUAGAAUGACUUCUCGGCGAUUUCGAUUUUGAUUUCAAAGCUCUCUCUGUCUCUCAAUUUCGAAGGUCUCUCUACUGAUUUGGUUGUUGAUUUUUGUUUGUGCAGAUCAAGGCAUUGCAUAUGCCGAGAUCAAGACAUUGAGAGAAGGCAGAAAGGAUUCCCUACUGCCGAACGCAGCAUGGAGGUACCUGCAUGGAAAAGGGGGCUAAGAUUCGUGCAAAUAAAGAAGUAAAGUUUUGCUGCUGCAGUUCACUCUAUUGUGGUACAUUUUUGCUAAUUUUAUUAUCUUUAAGCAUCUACUUCAUCAAUUUUAAACAUUUAUUAGAUCUUCCUCUACCUUUCGCAAACUAUCACAAGAUUCAUGCAUUAAAAAAAUGGGUUUAUUGUGAAUGAUAUCAUAUAAUAUUUGAUUAUUUAGCAAUCAAAUUUGUUCUUUUGUAUUAAAAAAGUCCAUGUAUCAAAAUAUUUGUUAGCCUCUUUCUUCUGACAAAUUUUACUACUGUAGUUCCUCAUAUAAGCAAAGAGAUGGGUUUCCACUGGAGAUGCAGCCUCUGGAAUAAUUUAUCCUAGCUUGCCUCAGUUCAUUUCCAUUGCUGCAGUUUCAUCUUUUGCUCUUGGAGCCACUUUGAACACUUUGGUUUUCCCCCAGUUGGGUUGGGUAAGUUAGUCUCUAAUGUUCUCUUGUUAUGGGAAAACCGAAGCCUGCUAAACUUGCCAACUUUCUGGAGUGUGACAUCUUCGUUUAUGUUUCUUGUGCACAAACUGCUCUUUUGGAUAGCAAAGAGUUCUUAUCUCCUGUUAUUACCCCUUUUGAAGCCAUGAUAGCUUUCAGCAAGUAAAACUAGAUUCUUGUUCAUCACCUCUAGAUAUUAUGCUCUACCUCUCAAACAUGUUCUCAAUCUUUCGGAAAAUACCCAAACACCAUUACACAGCUAUAGUGACUGUUGAUUAGGCAUCCAUGAAACAGUAAGCUUCAUGAGGAGCCAUUUUUGCAUCCUAUGUGUUAGCAGACACCAUACUAAAACUCCUAGAAAUGUGUCAGACAGGUGGCCAAAAGAAAAGAAGCAUGUAAGG